GGGUCUGUAGUUCAACUGGCAGAAUGACGGUCUCCAAAACCGUUGAUCCAGGUUCGAAUCCUGGCAGACCCG
rnacentral:tRNA from 1 species